GCAACAUUCCAGAGGAAUUUCGUAAAGAAGAGAACAGUUGUGGAGUCCCUCAUGACGAGCCUCCUGAUGGUCCCUCAGCUUAUCCGAAAGAAAUGAGAAGUUGCCAGAAGGUACCUCUGAUACCACAGGUAACAUUUAGGAUAAACUUUAAAUAAGAUGGCGUUGGCCUCUCUCCUAAUAGAACAUUAUUUUUUCUUUCUUUUGUCAUUCUCUUUCCUGUCCAUAAAAUAAUCAUCUUUUUUUCAACUUUACAUUUUACAAGAGGCUGCCUUUAGC
rnacentral:lncRNA from 1 species